GGCGGAUGUACCCAAGUGGAUCAAGGCAGG
rnacentral:tRNA from 2 species